GUGGGCAUGGCCCAAUAAGAAAUAAAAAUAAAUGGGCUUAACCCAAAUAGGAAAAAUGGAGAAGCCCAUGGAGAGGGCCCAAAGGUCAUAAAGAAAUGAAAAAGGCCCAAUGGAAAGUUUGUGGUGGAGGCGUGCCGAAUGAAGUAUGUGACCGACAAAUAGGAAUAAUUAUAUACUUGUACGAAUCAAUAGUGAGGUAAUAUCCCAUUAUUAUGAGAUAGGGUUCAACCUAGCGUGUAGUCAAUGACGCGUUCAGUCCACCGUGAAUAGGCUUGUUCGAGACUUGGCGGGUUUUUUCCAGAAGUCUUGGACACCGGCAGCGACCGAGGAGAGGUUCUUGCAAUUUCACAAUAUAAAAUCACUUUACCAAAGGCUUGUUCCCAAGUUGUGUUUAGCUGUUGUAUGAGAAGAGCAAACAACUUGGAAACUAUCCUGUGUGAUCCAGAAAUUGACCAAACAUUUCGCAGACUUCAACAAGAUGUUUACUCCAGUAAAUACAAUGGUUGAUCAAUAGGGUGAACAACAAAUCCAAGAGUGUGUAGUAGCUAACAAUCAUUGCUUAAGGGAUUAUGCUGUUCCUUUGGUACAUGGAAUUCCAUCGAGCAUUCGAAGGUUAGCUAUUCAAGCAAACAAUUUUGAAAUCAAGCCAGCUAUCAUCACCAUGAUUCAAACAUCGGUUCAGUUUUGGGGUCUUCCAAGUGAUGAUCCAAAUGGCCAUAUAUCAAACUUCUUGGAGAUUUGUGACACGUUCAAGCACAAUGGUGUCACAAAUGACACAAUUCAAUUGAGGCUUUUUCCCUUCUCAUUGAGGGAUGAAGCUAAGGUGUGGCUAAAUGCACUCUUUACUAGCUCCAUAACAACAUGGGAUGAUCUUGCUCAGAAAUUUCUUGCCAAAUUCUUCCCUCCGGCUACGACAGUAAAUAUGCGAAAUGACAUCACUCAUUCAUGCAGCAAGAUUUUGAAUCGUUGUAUGAGGCUUGGGAAAGAUACAAAGAAUUACUUCGACAGUGUCCUCAUCAUAGGCUUCCAAAGUGGCUUUAGGUGCAAACUUCUACAAUGGUUUUAGUGGGCAUGUUCGAGCCACCAUUGAUGCCGCAAUGGGAGGAGCUUUGAUGGCUAAAUCGAUUGAUGAAGCAUACGAUUUGUUGGAGGAGAUGGCUAUAAACAACUACCGGUGGCCAACAGAGCAAGUAAUGCAUAGGAGAGUAACUGGAAUUCAUGAUGUAAAUGCUUUUUCGGCAUUAACCUCUCAGGUAACUGUUCUAACUAAAACUCUUGAAUCUUUUGGUACUAAUAGUUGGCAAAGUCCUUUUGUAGC